GUAGGUGGCAAGCGUUGUCCGGAAUUAUUGGGCGUAAAGCGCGCGCAGGCGGUUCUUUAAGUCUGAUGUGAAAGCCCACGGCUCAACCGUGGAGGGUCAUUGGAAACUGGAGAACUUGAGUACAGAAGAGGAAAGCGGAAUUCCACGUGUAGCGGUGAAAUGCGUAGAGAUGUGGAGGAACACCAGUGGCGAAGGCGGCUUUCUGGUCUGUAACUGACGCUGAGGCGCGAAAGCGUGGGGAGCAAACAGGAUUAGAGACCCUGGUAGUCCACGCCGUAAACGAUGAGUGCUAAGUGUUAGGGGGGUUUCCGCCCCCCUUAGUGCUGCAGCUAACGCAUUAAGCACUCCGCCUGGGAGUACGGCCGCAAGGCUG
rnacentral:rRNA from 1 species